GCGAGGCCGGGGCCGCGCAGCAGAAGGAGGCCGAGGUCGAGACCGACGAGGAGGAGGAGGAGCCGGCAGCCGCGAGCCCAAGCCCGAGGUGAACAUGGAAAGUUCUACCAGCAAGCAUUCAUCAAACAGCGAGUGAGUUGGGCCUUCUGCUAAGGAAGAAUGUGGACCAGAACAUCUCAGGGUGAAGAGCCAUCUGCCCUAAUGGAGGUCCUUGCCACAGCUAUAAGAUCCCAGAUCCACUGAAAUAUGAGAUAUAAGAAUCCCAAGACAAAUCUGCAAAAAUCCUAAAUGCUAAUGAUUUUAGCUGUCACCAGUCCUGUAGAAAUAGGACUCAAAACCAUGACUACAUUCUCCAAAUGGUACAUAUUUAGAGACAUUGGGUUUCCAUAAUUCUCUGGCCAUGAAAUCACCAGCUGCUUUCGAAAUUCACAAAAGACGGAAUGGGGGAGGGAAGAGUCGAAAAAACAAAAGCAGAGUUUCUUUAAAUUUCUGGCUCUGCACAGCACGAACAUUUCCAGUACAAGAUAAAGAAUUCUUUAUUCUGUGUGUUUCAGCUGGCAUCUAGCUUUUGCCUGGUGAAUAAUGUCACCACAUCGUUAUUCAGUCCCACAAGGUAAAAACAAAGCAAGUAAC